rnacentral:rRNA from 1 species
UACGAAGGGGGCUAGCGUUGUUCGGAAUUACUGGGCGUAAAGGGCGCGUAGGCGGCGUGUCAAGUCAGGCGUGAAAGCCCCGGGCUCAACCUGGGAACCGCGCUUGAGACUGGCAUGCUCGAGUUCGGGAGAGGAUGGUGGAAUUCCCAGUGUAGAGGUGAAAUUCGUAGAUAUUGGGAAGAACACCGAUGGCGAAGGCAGGUCUCUGGGCCGAUACUGACGCUGAGGAGCGAAAGCGUGGGGAGCGAACAGG